UGUGAUUAGAAAGAAUUGGAACAGGUCAGG
rnacentral:piRNA from 1 species